GAUGAACGCUGGCGGCGUGCCUAAUACAUGCAAGUCGAACGAGUUCUGAUUAUUGAAAGGUGCUUGCAUCUUGAUUUAAUUUUGAACGAGUGGCGGACGGGUGAGUAACACGUGGGUAACCUGCCCUUAAGUGGGGGAUAACAUUUGGAAACAGAUGCUAAUACCGCAUAAAUCCAAAAACCGCAUGGUUCUUGGCUGAAAGAUGGCGUAAGCUAUCGCUUUUGGAUGGACCCGCGGCGUAUUAGCUAGUUGGUGAGGUAACGGCUCACCAAGGCAAUGAUACGUAGCCGAACUGAGAGGUUGAUCGGCCACAUUGGGACUGAGACACGGCCCAAACUCCUACGGGAGGCAGCAGUAGGGAAUCUUCCACAAUGGACGCAAGUCUGAUGGAGCAACGCCGCGUGAGUGAAGAAGGCUUUCGGGUCGUAAAACUCUGUUGUUGGAGAAGAAUGGUCGGCAGAGUAACUGUUGUCGGCGUGACGGUAUCCAACCAGAAAGCCACGGCUAACUACGUGCCAGCAGCCGCGGUAAUACGUAGGUGGCAAGCGUUAUCCGGAUUUAUUGGGCGUAAAGCGAGCGCAGGCGGUUUUUUAAGUCUGAUGUGAAAGCCCUCGGCUUAACCGAGGAAGUGCAUCGGAAACUGGGAAACUUGAGUGCAGAAGAGGACAGUGGAACUCCAUGUGUAGCGGUGAAAUGCGUAGAUAUAUGGAAGAACACCAGUGGCGAAGGCGGCUGUCUGGUCUGUAACUGACGCUGAGGCUCGAAAGCAUGGGUAGCGAACAGGAUUAGAUACCCUGGUAGUCCAUGCCGUAAACGAUGAAUGCUAGGUGUUGGAGGGUUUCCGCCCUUCAGUGCCGCAGCUAACGCAUUAAGCAUUCCGCCUGGGGAGUACGACCGCAAGGUUGAAACUCAAAGGAAUUGACGGGGGCCCGCACAAGCGGUGGAGCAUGUGGUUUAAUUCGAAGCAACGCGAAGAACCUUACCAGGUCUUGACAUCUUUUGAUCACCUGAGAGAUCAGGUUUCCCCUUCGGGGGCAAAAUGACAGGUGGUGCAUGGUUGUCGUCAGCUCGUGUCGUGAGAUGUUGGGUUAAGUCCCGCAACGAGCGCAACCCUUAUGACUAGUUGCCAGCAUUUAGUUGGGCACUCCAGUAAGACUGCCGGUGACAAACCGGAGGAAGGUGGGGAUGACGUCAAAUCAUCAUGCCCCUUAUGACCUGGGCUACACACGUGCUACAAUGGAUGGUACAACGAGUUGCGAGACCGCGAGGUCAAGCUAAUCUCUUAAAGCCAUUCUCAGUUCGGACUGUAGGCUGCAACUCGCCUACACGAAGUCGGAAUCGCUAGUAAUCGCGGAUCAGCACGCCGCGGUGAAUACGUUCCCGGGCCUUGUACACACCGCCCGUCACACCAUGAGAGUUUGUAACACCCGAAGCCGGUGGCGUAACCCUUUUAGGGAGCGAGCCGUCUAAGGUGGGAC
rnacentral:rRNA from 1 species